AAUAGUGGUGAGGAGUGUAAAAGAAUUUGGUGAUGGAUGGAAAAGCGUGUCCCUGGCCAGCGGUCAUAGUCUGCGGGGGGCACAGGGUAAUGGUGUAGACAGUGAGAGGAACCGAGAGAAGCCAGUGACUUUCAUUCUGGAGUAUUGACUACUGAAACUUCAGGAAACUGCUGGAACUCUACAAAAUGCCGAGGCUGUGGUUAACGGUUUUCAGAAAAGAAAAUUAAAAACAGUUCCAAAGAGCAAGGGCAGACAGAAACAGGAAAUGAAGCCGUAAAACGUGGGCCAGGCAGUGAGGGAGAGGGCAGCCUCCUCUCCUGGUCUCAGCAUUAGAGGAUGGGAUGGAAUCGAAAGCUGGAUUCCAUCUCGGUGUCCCUCACCAGUCAUCACCUCUGGGGCUGUGCUGACUGUGCCCUUUUGACCUAUGCACUGAGGUGUCUAGAAGGAGCGCCCCUGAGUAACCGAGUGGUGGGGCAGUUUGCAGAGGUCCUUUCUCCAUGCUCUUAAAAGAACAACUUGAUGCAUUCUUUCCAGAUCUACCACCUGCAAAUUGAUUUCCUACAACUUGAGCCAUUAAAGGUGCAUGUUUUUGGAUUGCACUGCAGGAUCCACCAUGGGCCGCCUGGAAGGGAAAGUCAUCGUCCUGACAGCUGCCGCUCAAGGGAUCGGCCGGGCUUCUGCUUUAGCUUUCGCAAGAGAAGGAGCCAAAGUCAUAGCCACAGAUAUCAACGAG
rnacentral:lncRNA from 1 species